AAUAAAUGUGAAUUUUUAUGCCAGGGUAGUAAUAGUUAUGUUCUUGAAACCCAAAGAAUUUGGCGGUAUUUUAGUCCUUUCAGAGGAAUCUGUCCCGUAAUCGACAGUCCACGAGAUAAUUUACUUAUCCUUGUAUUUCAGUUUGUAUACCUCCGUCAUAAGAAGAUCUUUUUAGAGAUAAAUUUUCUUAAUAUAUUAAGUAUAGAAUGUCAGGUCAAGGUGCAAUUUAUGGAUGAGUGGAGAUGGAUUACAAUAAAUUUAUUUAAAUGGAUUAAAUUAUUUAAUUUUUUAUGAAGGUGGAUUUGAUAGUAAUUUUAAUUAUUUGUUAUUAUGAUUUUGGCUCUAAAAUAUGC
rnacentral:rRNA from 1 species